rnacentral:rRNA from 1 species
GACGGUGAAGGAGAGCUUGCUCUUUGGAUCAGUGGCGAACGGGUGAGUAACACGUGAGCAAUCUGCCCUUGACUCUGGGAUAACUGCGGGAAACUGUAGCUAAUACCGGAUACGACCUGGAGAGGCAUCUUUUUGGGUGGAAAGAAUUUUGGUCAAGGAUGAGCUCGCGGCCUAUCAGCUUGUUGGUGAGGUAAUGGCUCACCAAGGCGACGACGGGUAGCCGGCCUGAGAGGGUGACCGGCCACACUGGGACUGAGACACGGCCCAGACUCCUACGGGAGGCAGCAGUGGGGAAUAUUGCACAAUGGGCGCAAGCCUGAUGCAGCAACGCCGCGUGAGGGACGAAGGCCUUCGGGUUGUAAACCUCUUUUAGUAGGGAAGAAGCGACUGGGUUUUCCUGGGAGUGACGGUACCUGCAGAAAAAGCACCGGCUAACUACGUGCCAGCAGCCGCGGUAAUACGUAGGGUGCAAGCGUUGUCCGGAAUUAUUGGGCGUAAAGAGCUCGUAGGCGGUUUGUCGCGUCUGCUGUGAAAACCCGAGGCUCAACCUCGGGCCUGCAGUGGGUACGGGCAGACUAGAGUGCGGUAGGGGAGAUUGGAAUUCCUGGUGUAGCGGUGGAAUGCGCAGAUAUCAGGAGGAACACCAAUGGCGAAGGCAGAUCUCUGGGCCGUAACUGACGCUGAGGAG